ACAUGCCUACAACAUAGUGUUAAUGCACCAGAUCCCAUUAGAACUCCAUAGUUAAGCGCACUUAGGCUAGAGUAGUACUGGGAUGGGUGACCGCUUGAGAAGUCCUAGUGUUUUACAUGCC
rnacentral:rRNA from 1 species